UGUCGUGAGGCAGAAUCUGAAGAAAGAUGGCGGCAAAACUCUGGCCUGACGAACAGAAACCAUAUAUAAGGCCCCAGCCGAGGAUAAGACUCCCGCGUAAGUCAAAGUCCAAUAACUGCACGGAAUCGUCUGUGGUAAAUAUGGCAGGGAAAGAGGGAAAGAAUGU
rnacentral:ncRNA from 1 species